rnacentral:rRNA from 1 species
UACGGAGGGUGCAAGCGUUAUCCGGAUUCACUGGGUUUAAAGGGUGCGUAGGAGGGCAGGGAAGUCCGUGGUGAAAUCUCCGAGCUUAACUCGGAAACUGCCGUGGAUACUCUCUGUCUUGAAUCCCGUGGAGAUGAGCGGAAUAUGUCAUGUAGCGGUGAAAUGCUUAGAUAUGACAUAGAACACCAAUUGCGAAGGCAGCUCGUUACACGAAGAUUGACUCUGAGGCACGAAAGCGUGGGGAGCAAACAGG